rnacentral:rRNA from 1 species
ACAAACGCUGGCGGCGUGCUUAAUACAUGCAAGUCGAACGAAGUAGCAAUACUGAGUGGCGCACGGGUGAGUAAUACGUAGAUAACCUCCCUUAAUGUGGGGAACAACCUACCGAAAGGUGGGCUAAUACCGCAUGAGACCACAGUGACCGAGGUCACAGGGGUUAAAGAUUUAUCGCAUUAAGAUGGGUCUGCGUCAGAUUAGGUAGUUGGUAGGGUAAUGGCCUACCAAGCCAACGAUCUGUAGCUGGUCUGAGAGGAUGAUCAGCCACACUGGAACUGAGACACGGUCCAGACUCCUACGGGAGGCAGCAGUAGGGAAUAUUGCGCAAUGGGGGAAACCCUGACGCAGCAACGCCGCGUGAGUGACGAAGGUCUUCGGAUCGUAAAGCUCUGUUGUAAGGGAAAAAGAAAGUGAUUGUACCUUGCGAGAAAGGGGCGGCCAACUUCGU